rnacentral:lncRNA from 1 species
AGAAGGAUUUGAGGUGAAGCUGAGGAUUCAUGAGAAGUGUCAAGACUGUAAAUCCACUGGUGGAAUCUGCUCCUACAAUGAUUCCACUCCAGUUUGCUGCAAGACAAACUUGUCAUCAGACACCAAAUGCAUUCCAAUGAUUCCAUCUGGUUCGACUGGUAAGUUAUACCAAACUCUCUCAGCAAGUUUCUUAAAUUAUGCAUAACUAUUCCGAUGCAACUUAGACUAAAAACAGAAAAUAACGGAUUGCUCAAAAAUCUGAACAAGACUAGUCUGCAGCCUCUUUAGUUCCACUAUGACACACACUAAAACUAAAAUCCCUUAAGUUCUGCAAAUGGCUUAAACUCCAGGCAUAUACCACAUCCUAAUCACCAAGAACCACAGCUAACACUACAUUUUCCGCAGUCCCUCUUAAAACAGUUUUCUUUCUUUUCAAUCUUUCUCUUUUGGUUUCACCAAUGUUAAGACAUAACUAACUUCUUAGUGAGCUCAAGAGGGAAGACAGUAAACUUGAGUAGUCUAAAAGUCUUUAUCUAUCUCCAAGCAACUUGACAUAAACAACUCCCAUCAAGUCAUUUUCAGGGUACGAAAGUCUUCCAUGCAAUGAAAUUGUCUCCUUCCUUUAUCACAAAUCUUCAGACUCUUUUUCCAUGGACCAUGGUAAAAUACUAAAAGAGUCUUUGUCUUGUUACUUAUUCAUUUCUUCAUUCUCUCCACAUAUCUUUAAAUGCCUUCACAUUUGUCUGAAACUGAUAAAGAAAAUGGCAAUUACGGUCAAAGUCUUUCUUCUUUCUUUUGGAGACUUUCCUCAUAAGUGUAGAUCUAUCCCCAUUUCUACUUUGCUUCCGGUAAAUUUCAGUAAAUUUCUUGCACCGGGACUUUGUUUUAGGCCUUAGUCCUACAAAAAGAAAGAGAAAAAAAGAAACUAAUAUAUUAAUAAAAUCUUCUUAAAUAGUUGAAUAUCAUGAUUCUCUUGUCUACAAGUCUAUUCCAAGACUUAGUCAUCAUCCUAACCCACCUACUUCCAAAGAAAUUUCCCUGUUGAAAUAUACUAUGAGAUAAACAACUAUAAAGAAAAAGAAACCUUACCUUAGUUUUCUUUUCUUUAUAUAAAACCAAGACUUACACAAAAUCAACAAUUCACAAAUUCCUCAUCUGCUUUUUUACUUCCUCUUUCUUCUUCAGUUCUUCUUCAUCUUCUUAUUCAUCAUCUCCAAG